rnacentral:rRNA from 1 species
AAGGAUUCCCUUAGUAACGGCGAGUGAAGAGGGAAAAGCUCAAAUUUUGAAUCUGGCUCCUUUGGCGCCCGAGUUGUAAUCUAGAGAAGUGUUUUCUGCCUCGGACCACACAUAAAUUCCCUGGAAUGGGGUGUCAUAGAGGGUGAGAAUCCCGUUUGUGGUGCGGACUGCCUUGGCUCUGUGAUACACUCUCAACGAGUCGAGUUGUUUGGGAAUGCAGCUCAAAAUGGGUGGUAAAUUCCAUCUAAAGCUAAAUAUUGGCGAGAGACCGAUAGCGAACAAGUACCGUGAGGGAAAGAUGAAAAGCACUUUGGAAAGAGAGUGAAACAGUACGUGAAAUUGUUGAAAGGGAAGCGUUUGAAGUCAGUCGCAUCCGUCGGAUUCAACCGUGCUUCUGCUCGGCUUACUUUCCGUCGUAUGGGUCAGCGUCAAUUUUGACCGAGGGAGAAAGGUGGAGGGAAUGUGGCUGUCUUCGGGCAGUGUUAUAGCCCUUCAUUGUAUGUCUCGGUUGGGAUUGAGGAUAGCAGCACGCCUUUUGGCCGGGGUUCGCCCUCGAUACGUGCUUAGGACGCUGGCAUAAUGGC